UGAAGGAUGGACUUGCAACUUUACACAUUCCCUAUGCAUAUGGAUUUGCAAUUAUCUUGCUCACUAUUAUUGUGAAGGUGGCUACAUUGCCUUUGACAAAGAAGCAGUGGGUGGGUUUCUUAUUAGCACUGCACUCUUGAGCAGAAAUGGGAAAGGCACUGAUGGAUGCAGGGGGAACUUGGUGCAAAUGCUAUAUUAGUUGUGUCAAUUGCUACUUGUAAAGCUGGUGCUGCUGAA